GCAACGUGGUCACUCCAACCCAUGUGACGUUACCAAACUGUUGCCUCGGCGGGAUCUCUGCCGGGGUGCGUCGCAGCCCCGGACCAAGGCGCCCGCCGGAGGACCAACCAAAACUCUUUUUGUAUACCCCCUCGCGGGUUUUUUAUAAUCUGAGCCUUCUCGGCGCCUCUCGUAGGCGUUUCGAAAAUGAAUCAAAACUUUCAACAACGGAUCUCUUGGUUCUGGCAUCGAUGAAGAACGCAGCGAAAUGCGAUAAGUAAUGUGAAUUGCAGAAUUCAGUGAAUCAUCGAAUCUUUGAACGCACAUUGCGCCCGCCAGUAUUCUGGCGGGCAUGCCUGUCCGAGCGUCAUUUCAACCCUCGAACCCCUCCGGGGGGUCGGCGUUGGGGAUCGGCCCUGCCUCUUGGCGGUGGCCGUCUCCGAAAUACAGUGGCGGUCUCGCCGCAGCCUCUCCUGCGCAGUAGUUUGCACACUCGCAUCGGGAGCGCGGCGCGUCCACAGCCGUUAAACACCCAACUUCUGAAAUGUUGACCUCGGAUCAGGUAGGAAUACCCGCUGAACUUAAGCAUAUCAAUAAGCGGAGGAACAUAUCAAU
rnacentral:rRNA from 1 species